rnacentral:tRNA from 11 species
CGUGGCAUACUGGUUAAGACACCAGGCUAAUAAGCUGACGGCUAAUGGUUCGGGCC